rnacentral:tRNA from 2 species
GGUCCUUUGGCCGAGUGGCUAGGCACAGCUCUGCAAAAGCUUCUACAGCGGUUCGAAUCCGCUAGGGACCUCCA